rnacentral:rRNA from 1 species
UGGGGAAUAUUGGACAAUGGGGGGAACCCUGAUCCAGCCAUGCCGCGUGUGUGAAGAAGGCCUUAUGGUUGUAAAGCACUUUAAGCGAGGAGGAGGGUACUGGUAUUAAUACUACCAGGUACUGGACGUUACUCGCAGAAUAAGCACCGGCUAACUCUGUGCCAGCAGCCGCGGUAAUACAGAGGGUGCGAGCGUUAAUCGGAUUUACUGGGCGUAAAGCGUGCGUAGGCGGCUAAUUGAGUCGGAUGUGAAAUCCCCGAGCUUAACUUGGGAAUUGCAUUCGAUACUGGUUAGCUAGAGUGUGGGAGAGGAUGGUAGAAUUCCAGGUGUAGCGGUGAAAUGCGUGGAUAUAGGAAGGAACACCAGUGGCGAAGGCGACCACCUGGGCUCAUACUGACACUGAAGUGCGAAAGCGUGGGGAGCAAACAGG